CAACUAAGUGUCGCAAAGAUGCGUAUGUUGCGUUGGAUAUGUGGGCACACAAGUUUGGACCGAGUGAGAAACAAUGACAUACACGAUCGGCUAGGAGUAGCGCCAAUUGAAGAAAAGCUUAUUCAACACCGGUUGAGAUGGUUUGGGCAUGUCCACCGGAGACCCCAGAGGCACCGGUGCAUAGAGGCAUCAUAAGACGGGACAAUAAUGUGAAGAGAGGUAGAUGACGACCAAACUUGACAUGAGAGGAGGCAAUCAAAAGGGACUUGAAAGAAUGGAAUAUCCCAAUGGAGUUGUGUUUGGAUAGAAGUGCUUGGAAAGAAGCUAUCCACGUGUCGAACCGUGAUUACGCCUUUUCCCUUUUAGAGCUCUCAAAAGAUUUUCCCCUCCCUUUUCUCUCUCUUUCUCUUUGGUGACAUCUUGUUGGGUUUCAACUCUAGCCUACCCCAACUUUCUUGGGACUAAAAGGCUAUGUUGAUGUUGAUGUUGAGAUGGUUUGGGCAUGUCCACCGGAGACCCCUAGAGGCACCAUAAGACGGGACAGUAAUGUGAAGAGAGGUAGAGGGCAGCCAAACUUGACAUGGGAGGAGGCAAUCGAAAG
rnacentral:lncRNA from 1 species